rfam:Eutrema salsugineum unplaced genomic scaffold scaffold_1, whole genome shotgun sequence.
UAUCCAUGCCGUGGACAAUCUCUUUGGUAUUCUCUAAAUCUCUCCUAAGCAUCAGAAAUAUCUUCGUCUUCCUUUUGUUCAAAAGUUCUUAUCUUGUUCCUUAAGAGA